UUUAACCUUCCUACCCAACACAACCCUGCAAUAGAUACAUCAGAUGAUAAAUAAUCUGAAGAAAGUCCCCCCACUGUUAGAUCCCAUAAUAACCGGUCACCGUCCUCUUCCCUACCAUACUUAUAGUGACCUGCCACCAAAAUGUUAAAAGUUAUAGCAUCUGGAGCUACACCCUUCCUUUUCAUUUCUUCAUAUAGCAUACUUGCUUGAAAAA
rnacentral:misc_RNA from 1 species